GGAGAGGUGCCGGAGUCCGGUUGAACGGGCCUGACUCGAAAUCAGGUGACGGGCUUGCCCGUCCGUGGGUUCGAAUCCCACCCUCUCCGCCA
rnacentral:tRNA from 1 species